GAUGAACGCUGGCGGCGUGCCUAAUACAUGCAAGUCGAGCGAACAGACGAGGAGCUUGCUCCUCUGACGUUAGCGGCGGACGGGUGAGUAACACGUGGAUAACCUACCUAUAAGACUGGGAUAACUUCGGGAAACCGGAGCUAAUACCGGAUAAUAUAUUGAACCGCAUGGUUCAAUAGUGAAAGACGGUUUUGCUGUCACUUAUAGAUGGAUCCGCGCCGCAUUAGCUAGUUGGUAAGGUAACGGCUUACCAAGGCAACGAUGCGUAGUCGACCUGGGAGGGUGAUCGGCCACACUGGAACUGAGCCACGGUCCAGACUCCUACGGGAGGCAGCAGUAGGGAAUCUUCCGCAAUGGGCGAAAGCCUGACGGAGCAACGCCGCGUGAGUGAUGAAGGUCUUCGGAUCGUAAAACUCUGUUAUUAGGGAAGAACAAAUGUGUAAGUAACUAUGCACGUCUUGACGGUACCUAAUCAGAAAGCCACGGCUAACUACGUGCCAGCCGCCGCAGUAA
rnacentral:rRNA from 1 species